CUAGAGAAGAAACUGAUGUCAGACUUAUCACGACUGCAUUAAAGUUAAUCAUACUUUAAUGGUAAAUGCUAAUACAUCUCGCCAAACUUAGCAGAAGAAACUCAACACAGAAAUCACAACGAAUAAUGCAUCAAGUCAAGAAGUCGGGCACAAAGAAA